UACGAAGGGGGCUAGCGUUGCUCGGAAUCACUGGGCGUAAAGGGUGUGUAGGCGGGUCUUUAAGCCAGGGGUGAAAUCCUGGAGCUCAACUCCAGAACUGCCUUUGAUACUGAAGAUCUUGAGUUCGGGAGAGGUGAGUGGAACUGCGAGUGUAGAGGUGAAAUUCGUAGAUAUUCGCAAGAACACCAGUGGCGAAGGCGGCUCACUGGCCCGAUACUGACGCUGAGGCACGAAAGCGUGGGGAGCAAACAGG
rnacentral:rRNA from 1 species